CCUACGGGAGGCAGCAGUGGGGAAUAUUGCGCAAUGGGCGCAAGCCUGACCCAGCGACGCCGCGUGAGGGAUGAAGGUCUUCGGAUUGUAAACCUCUUUCAGUAGGGAAGAAGCGAAAGUGACGGUACCUAAAGAAGAAGCACCGGCUAACUAUGUGCCAGCAGCCGCGGUAAUACAUAGGGUGCAAGCGUUGUCCGGAAUUAUUGGGCGUAAAGAGCUCGUAGGUCGUUUGUCGCGUCGAUUGUGAAAAUCUGAGGCUCAACCUCAGACCUGCAGUCGAUACGGGCAAACUAGAGUGUGGUAGGGGAGACUGGAAUUCCUGGUGUAGCGGUGGAAUGCGCAGAUAUCAGGAGGAACACCAAUGGCGAAGGCAGGUCUCUGGGCCAUAACUGACACUGAGGAGCGAAAGUGCGGGGAGCGAACAGGAUUAGAUACCCUGGUAGUCCGCACCGUAAACGGUGGACACUAGUUGUGGGAACCUUCCACGGUUUCCGCGACGCAGCAAACGCAUUAAGUGCCCCGCCUGGGGAGUACGAUCGCAAGAUUAAAACUCAAAGGAAUUGACGG
rnacentral:rRNA from 1 species